rnacentral:rRNA from 1 species
UAGGGAAUCUUCCACAAUGGACGCAAGUCUGAUGGAGCAACGCCGCGUGAGUGAAGAAGGUCUUCGGAUCGUAAAACUCUGUUGUUAGAGAAGAACACGAGUGAGAGUAACUGUUCAUACGUUGACGGUAUUUAACCAGAAAGUCACGGCUAACUACGUGCCCG